rnacentral:rRNA from 1 species
UUAAGUGACUAAGCGUACACGGUGGAUGCCUAGGCAGUCAGAGGCGAUGAAGGGCGUGCUAAUCUGCGAAAAGCGUCGGUAAGGUGAUAUGAACCGUUAUAACCGGCGAUACCCGAAUGGGGAAACCCAGUGUGUUUCGACACAUUAUCAUGUCAUGAAUACAUAGUGGCAUGAGGCGAACCGGGGGAACUGAAACAUCUAAGUACCCCGAGGAAAAGAAAUCAACCGAGAUUCCCCCAGUAGCGGCGAGCGAACGGGGAGGAGCCCAGAACCUGAAUCGGCUUGUGUGUUAGUGGAAGCGUCUGGAAAGUCGCGCAGNAAAGGGUGAUAGCCCCGUACACUAAAAUGCACAGGUCGUGAGUUCGAUGAGUAGGGCGGGACACGUGACAUCCUGUCUGAAUAUGGGGGGACCAUCCUCCAAGGCUAAAUACUCCUGACUGACCGAUAGUGAACCAGUACCGUGAGGGAAAGGCGAAAAGAACCCCGGCGAGGGGAGUGAAAUAGAACCUGAAACCGUGUACGUACAAGCAGUGGGAGCACCUUCGUGGUGUGACUGCGUACCUUUUGUAUAAUGGGUCAGCGACUUAUAUUUUGUAGCAAGGUUAACCGUAUAGGGGAGCCGUAGGGAAACCGAGUCUUAACUGGGCGAAUAGUUGCAAGGUAUAGACCCGAAACCCGGUGAUCUAGCCAUGGGCAGGUUGAAGGUUGGGUAACACUAACUGGAGGACCGAACCGACUAAUGUUGAAAAAUUAGCGGAUGACUUGUGGCUGGGGGUGAAAGGCCAAUCAAACCGGGAGAUAGCUGGUUCUCCCCGAAAGCUAUUUAGGUAGCGCCUCGUGAACUCAUCUUCGGGGGUAGAGCACUGUUUCGGCUAGGGGGCCAUCCCGGCUUACCAAACCGAUGCAAACUCCGAAUACCGAAGAAUGUUAUCACGGGAGACACACGGCGGGUGCUAACGUCCGUCGUGAAGAGGGAAACAACCCAGACCGCCAGCUAAGGUCCCAAAGUCAUGGUUAAGUGGGAAACGAUGUGGGAAGGCAUAGACAGCCAGGAUGUUGGCUUAGAAGCAGCCAUCAUUUAAAGAAAGCGUAAUAGCUCACUGGUCGAGUCGGCCUGCGCGGAAGAUGUAACGGGGCUAAACCAUGCACCGAAGCUGCGGCAGCGACGCUUAGGCGUUGUUGGGUAGGGGAGCGUUCUGUAAGCCGUUGAAGGUGGCCUGUGAGGGUUGCUGGAGGUAUCAGAAGUGCGAAUGCUGACAUAAGUAACGAUAAAGCGGGUGAAAAGCCCGCUCGCCGGAAGACCAAGGGUUCCUGUCCAACGUUAAUCGGGGCAGGGUGAGUCGACCCCUAAGGCGAGGCUGAAAAGCGUAGUCGAUGGGAAACAGGUUAAUAUUCCUGUACUUGGUGUUACUGCGAAGGGGGGACGGAGAAGGCUAGGCUAGCCGGGCGACGGUUGUCCCGGUUUAAGCGUGUAGGGGGUGUGACCUGGUAAAUCCGGUUGCAUNGCGGAUGGAGCUGAAGCCAGUCGAAGAUACCAGCUGGCUGCAACUGUUUAAUAAAAACACAGCACUGUGCAAACACGAAAGUGGACGUAUACGGUGUGACGCCUGCCCGGUGCUGGAAGGUUAAUUGAUGGGGUCAGCCGCAAGGCGAAGCUCUUGAUCGAAGCCCCAGUAAACGGCGGCCGUAACUAUAACGGUCCUAAGGUAGCGAAAUUCCUUGUCGGGUAAGUUCCGACCUGCACGAAUGGCGUAAUGAUGGCCAGGCUGUCUCCACCCGAGACUCAGUGAAAUUGAACUCGCUGUGAAGAUGCAGUGUACCCGCGGCAAGACGGAAAGACCCCGUGAACCUUUACUAUAGCUUGACACUGAACAUUGAGCCUUGAUGUGUAGGAUAGGUGGGAGGCUUUGAAGCGUGGACGCCAGUCUGCGUGGAGCCAUCCUUGAAAUACCACCCUUUAAUGUUUGAUGUUCUAACUCGGCCCCGUNAUCCGGGGUGAGGACAGUGUCUGGUGGGUAGUUUGACUGGGGCGGUCUCCUCCCAAAGAGUAACGGAGGAGCACGAAGGUUAGCUAAUCACGGUCGGACAUCGUGAGGUUAGUGCAAAGGCAUAAGCUAGCUUGACUGCGAGAGUGACGGCUCGAGCAGGUACGAAAGUAGGUCUUAGUGAUCCGGUGGUUCUGAAUGGAAGGGCCAUCGCUCAACGGAUAAAAGGUACUCCGGGGAUAACAGGCUGAUACCGCCCAAGAGUUCAUAUCGACGGCGGUGUUUGGCACCUCGAUGUCGGCUCAUCACAUCCUGGGGCUGAAGUAGGUCCCAAGGGUAUGGCUGUUCGCCAUUUAAAGUGGUACGCGAGCUGGGUUUAGAACGUCGUGAGACAGUUCGGUCCCUAUCUGCCGUGGGCGUUGGAAGAUUGAGAGGGGUUGCUCCUAGUACGAGAGGACCGGAGUGAACGCACCACUGGUGUUCGGGUUGUCAUGCCAAUGGCAUUGCCCGGUAGCUAAGUGCGGAAAAGAUAAGCGCUGAAAGCAUCUAAGCGCGAAACUUGCCUCAAGAUGAGUCUUCCCUGGGCCUUNAAGGCCCCUGAAGGAACGUUUAAGACUAAGACGUUGAUAGGCUGGGUGUGUAAGUGCAGCGAUGCAUUGAGCUAACCAGUACUAAUGAUCCGUGAGGCUUAACCUU